rnacentral:rRNA from 1 species
CCUACGGGAGGCAGCAGUGAGGAAUAUUGGUCAAUGGACGCAAGUCUGAACCAGCCAUGCCGCGUGCAGGAAGACGGCUCUAUGAGUUGUAAACUGCUUUUGUACGAGGGUAAACGCAGAUACGCGUAUCUGUCUGAAAGUAUCGUACGAAUAAGGAUCGGCUAACUCCGUGCCAACAGCCGCGGUAAUACGGAGGAUUCAAGCGUUAUCCGGAUUUAUUGGGUUUAAAGGGUGCGUAGGCGGUCGGAUAAGUUAGAGGUGAAAUCCCGAGGCUCAACUUCGGAAUUGCCUCUGAUACUGUUCGGCUAGAGAGUAGUUGCGGUAGGCGGAAUGUAUGGUGUAGAAGUGAAAUGCUUAGAGAUCAUACAGAACACCGAGUGCGAAGGCAGCUGACCAAGCUACUUCUGACGUUGAGGCACGAAAGCGUGGGGAGCAAACAGGAUUAGAUACCCGGGUAGUC